AGAGCGGCGCUGCGCUCGGCUGCAAUGGGAGAGAAGAAGGAGGGCAGUGGCGGGGGUGACGCGGCUAUCGCGUAGGGAGGCACAGGGGCCGCGGCCAGCCGGGCGCUGCAGCAGUGCGGGCAGCUCCAGAAGCUCAUCGGCAUCUCCGUUGGCAGCCUGCGCGGGCUGCGCACCAAGUGCGCUGUGUCCAAGGACCUCACCCAGCAGGAGAUACGGACCC
rnacentral:lncRNA from 1 species